ACGCACGCUGGCGGCGUGCCUCAUACAUGCCAGUAGAACGCUGAAGAGAGGAGCUUGCUCUUCUUGGAUGGGUUGCGAACGGGUGAGUAACGCGUAGGUAACCUGCCUUGUAGCGGGGGAUAACUAUUGGAAACGAUAGCUAAUACCGCAAACAAUGGAUGACACAUGUCAUUUAUUUGAAAGGGGCAAUUGCUCCACUACAAGAUGGACCUGCGUUGUAUUAGCUAGUAGGUGAGGUAAUGGCUCACCUAGGCGACGAUACAUAGCCGACCUGAGAGGGUGAUCGGCCACACUGGGACUGAGACACGGCCCAGACUCCUACGGGAGGCAGCAGUAGGGAAUCUUCGGCAAUGGGGGCAACCCUGACCGAGCAACGCCGCGUGAGUGAAGAAGGUUUUCGGAUCGUAAAGCUCUGUUGUAAGUCAAGAACGGGUGUGAGAGUGGAAAGUUCACACUGUGACGGUAGCUUACCAGAAAGGGACGGCUAACUACGUG
rnacentral:rRNA from 1 species